UCUAGAAAAUCAAGAGAAAGUAUAUAGGAGUUGUAGAAAUUAAUUAAGGUGCCAUCGUUGUGAUAGUGUUAGCCGAGGUAAGCUUGGUGCUACCUCUUUUCUUUUGUUUGUUAUUUUCUUUGAAUAAGAGGAUUGAGAGUUUUUGAAUAUUGUGAAGUGAAUUAUGGAAUGGAAAUGUGAUUGGUAUUAUUUGAGAAGUAGAAAGAUUGAAUGCUGAAAGCUGAUUGUAGUUCAACAGAGAGAAUGAGUCUGUAUUUGUGUGAAACAUCAUAAUGUGAAUGGCAGUUCUCUGUGAAGAAUUCUAGUGAUUGGAACGAGGAUAAUUAUGUGCUGAAAGCUGUGAAGGCGUAGUAUUACAGUUGGAGAUUAUGAGGGUGAAUAUAUUGGUGGAAAUAGCAGUUAUUGAUAUGAUUGAAUUGUUGUAA
rnacentral:lncRNA from 1 species